rnacentral:ncRNA from 2 species
UUCUUAUCAAGAGCAGGUGGAGGGACAAGCCCGAUGAAGCCCGGCAACCGGCGUGAGCGUAACGCGAACGCAGCGGUGCUAAUUCUUGCAGCCAUGAGGUAGCAAUACCUGAUGCUGAUAGAUGAGAG